rnacentral:rRNA from 1 species
CCCUUAGAUGUUCUGGGCCGCACGCGCGCUACACUGACGAAUGCAACGAGCUUAUAACCUUGGCCGAAAGGUCUGGGUAAUCUCCAAAUUUCGUCGUGAUGGGGAUAGAUUAUUGCAGUUAUUAAUCUUCAACGAGGAAUGCCUAGUAAGCGCAAGUCAUCAGCUUGCGUUGAUUACGUCCCUGCCCUUUGUACACACCGCCCGUCGCUCCUACCGAUUGAAUGGUCCGGUGAAGCGUUCGGACCGUGGCCUUUGGACGGUUCGCCGUCUGUUGGCUGCGGGAAGUUCGUUAAACCUUAUCAUUUAGAGGAAGGAGAAGUCGUAACA